GGGGGUGUGAGGUGGGGGCGCUGGGUGGCCUCCCAGAGCAGCAGAGGCCAAGAGUGAGGAAGGCUGGCACCAGGGCCCGCGUGAAGGGGCUGGCGGCCGCGAAGGAGCCGCGGACCGAGGGCGAGGCGGGCUGGGCGGCCAUGGGGCUCCUGCAUCCUGGGGCCUGAGGUCGAGGAGACGCACCGCGGAAUUCAGCCAGGGCUGGGGCUCUGCCAGGUUUACGCAGCAACAGAGUCAGGGCUUGGGAUGUGGAGCCUGUGCCGGGCGCACGAGUGACGUAGAGGGCACGCGCGGUGGCUCGCCUCGGCGGCUGGGGCGACCGUGGCCUGCCGGGGAGUGAGAGUGGAGACGCGAGGGAGGUCCAGAUGGGCUGGAGGCCUGGGAUAGCGGCUGACUGGCGCGUGGGGACGGGGCAUGGCAGUCCGCUGAGUCUGGUCAGCUGCUGGGAUGGGACUGUGGCGUGGGGAUUGGCUGGAGGCCCUGGUCUGGGCGAAGACAGUGACUUUCUUUUAAUGUGCCGAGAUUGAGGAACCCCAAUGCUGAGGCGACCUUUGUUCAAGAGGCAGGGCCUCGACCUGAAGCCUGGAGGGACAGGCUGGAGUCAGCCAGAGCACAGAUGGCACAGGCUCCCAGGGGUGGCUGAGCACAGCUGAGCACAGGCAGCCUCCCCAGGUGACUGACAGCUCAGAGGACCGAUAUGGGGGAAGGCGGGGCUUGAGGACACUGGAGCGUGGGGGUGGUACACUGGCCCCCUCCCUGGGGAGAUGGGUUAGAACGAGGGAGGCCAGAGUUGCUGGAGGGACCAGAGCCAGCUGGUGGAGGCCUCCUGAAGCUUGUGGCAGUGGGGUUGAUGGUCUUGGCCUCCACCUGCCCAGUGAAGCCAGAGUCUGAGCUUGAGGUUUGAGGACCCCUGCAUGGGUCUUAAUUCCUCUGAUCUUUGGAAAAUCCCACUUGGAGUCUGUAAACAGCAACGUACUUACUCAGAGAUAAUGACCCUGACUCAAACACCAAAGCUCUUGGGUCCUCCCAGUGGAAGCCCAUUUUACAAGGGAGAUCAUCACCUUAAAUAAGACAUCACAUGGGCGAUGCCCAAGUUGGUCCAGCUGAUUCCUGUCUCUCCCAAGACCCCAGGCCUUCUAAGUUGUGCCCUGAUUUCAACCUCAGAGGUAGGUUUGGAUACUGUCUCCAUUUUCAGGUGAAGAAUCGGGCUUCCAUAGUGAAAGACAUGUUCAAAUUUAUUCAGUAAAUGGUGAAGCUGCCUUAGAUCCAGGUCUGACUCUGGCCUGCCUGCCUUAGUGCAAACAAGCAAACAGACUCCAAGGAACUGUGUGACCUGUGAGAUCACACUGUCAUCAGUGGCUACCCAGGCCAGUGGUACUUCACCCUCAUGUGACAGCCCAGCCAAGGCCAGCUGUCUGCUUUUACUCAGGCUCAUGUGUCCAAGUCAGGAGCCACAGAAUAGCAGGAAUGAGAGGGUAGGAGUGGAGCUGCGAGGAGCAUGCUUGACCAAGGGCCAGAAGCUUCUCAGAGCUGAAACUCCCACACCUGUUUCUCAGCACCCAGCAGCUAUACUUGCCACAGACUCAGUCCCUGAACAUGGUCUGCAUGGGAGACACACCCAGUGGCAAAGCAAAGAUGACACUGUAGGCAUCCAGAGGAAAGGUUAUUCACUCAAAGGAUAUUUACUGAGCACCUGCCAUGUGCCACACCCUGUCUUGGUGCUGGGAUAGAGCAGGAUCCAAGCAUCUAGAAAAGCUUGGGGACUAGAGAUGUAGUACAGUGGCAGAGUUCUUGCCUAGCACAUAUAGGCCCUGAGUUCCAAUCCCAGCACUGCAAUCAAUCAAUCAGUCAGUCAAUCAAUCACCUUGGCCAUAGGGGCUUGCCUUUUAAUGGAAAAGAAAAAGAAAAGAAAGUUUUCAAAAAUAACAUGACAUUAAAUUUAAAACCACAAUGAGAUACCACUAGACACAACAAAAUGGAUAAAAUAAAGGGAAUGACAACACUGAACAGUGACAAAGAUACAAAGCAACUAGAAUUCCCAUAUAUUGUUGACAGGUGCCAAAAGUGGGAAAAUGCUCUGGAAAAAUGGCUGGUAAACACUCCUGCCCGACAACCCAGCAAUUCCUAGGUAUGUCCAAGUGAAACAAAAGAAAUAUAUCACACGAUGACUGUCACAGGAAAUGUUCACAGCAGCUUUGUUCACAGUUGCCCCAAACUGAAAUCAGCUCAGUUAACCAUCAAUGGAAGAUUGAAUAAACAAUCUGGUACGUCCAUGUCCAUUCGAAGGAACCUCGUGGGCAGGUUGAGGAAAUGAUCCGCUGCCUCAGAGAUGGUGGUGGCGGAGGAGGAGGAUUUGCUCUACUACUGAGAUAUCCCACCACUGGGCUAACUCACCCUGAGCCCAUUUUUUUUUUUUUUUUAAAGACAGGAUCUCACUAAAUUGUUGAGGUUGGCUGGAACUUGCCAUCCUCCUGCCUCAGCCUCUUGAGUAGCUGGAAUUACAGGCCUAUGCCACAGUGCUCAGCCUAAAGUGAAUGAAUCUCAAAAACUUUAUGUUGAGUGCAAUUACAUUAGACCAUUUGAGAAGUUCUCCUUGAAACCACAGUUGACCCUUGCAAGACCUGAAGAAGGUGAAGGGAUGAAUCACACAGAGAUUUUGGAAGAAUAUUCCAGGCUGAAGCCAAGAAGGCUCGUCAGGCCAGACUGACGGAGGCAAGGCCAGAGCAGGGGCACCCAAGAGGAGAAGGUGGCGGCUCUGGCCUGGAUGGCAAUGGUGGAGGUGGAAUCACUGGAUUUGAGGAUGGACUGGGUGUGAGGUAGGUGGGAGUGGGAAAGGAAAGGAAGGGGUCACGGAUGAUUCUGAGGUUUUUGACCUAAAAAAUGGAGACAGAAAAGAUUACAACUGGAACACUUUUGGGUGGAAAUCAUGGAUUUGUUCUGGGCAGGGCAAGUUUAGGGUUUCUGUUAGGCAGUCAAGUAGAGACAUGGAAGCCAAGCCACACCAUGGGAUUCAGUUAGAUGGGGCAGCCCAGGGGCCAGUGAGCAGGGAAACCAGAGCCUAGAGGGAUCAGCCUGCUGAGGUCAAGUGAGAAGGACGAGGGCACACCUUAGGGUGUAGGGGAUUAGCCCUCCUCCCCAGCUCCAGCGCCAGCGCCAGGUCAGGGCUGCCUGAUGAAAGACAGGUGGAACCACUUCCCCAAGGCCAUGGCUGACCCAGUUCUUUCUGCUGCCCCUAAUGGCUCUGAUUCUACUCAGUGUCCUGUGACAAUGUGAAGUUUGUCUAUAUUGACACACAGCUUUGGGCCAAGAGUAAACUGAGACCCCGGGACAUGUCUGUCUCCUGGCAAAUAAGGUUUUAUUGGGAUGCAGCAGCAAAUCCAGAGGCUUGGGCUGGGGUGUAGCUCAGUAGUAGAGUGCCUCUCAGAUGUGAGGCCCUGGGUUCAAUCCUCAGCAAAGCCAAAAAAAACAAAACCAAAUGAACAAAAAUCA